UAGGGAAUCUUCGGCAAUGGACGAAAGUCUGACCGAGCAACGCCGCGUGAGUGAAGAAGGUUUUCGGAUCGUAAAACUCUGUUGUUAGAGAAGAACAAGGACGUUAGUAACUGAACGUCCCCUGACGGUAUCUAACCAGAAAGCCACGGCUAACUACGUGCCAGCAGCCGCGGUAAUACGUAAGUGGCAAGCGUUGUCCGGAUUUAUUGGGCGUAAAGCGAGCGCAGGCGGUUUCUUAAGUCUGAUGUGAAAGCCCCCGGCUCAACCGGGGAGGGUCAUUGGAAACUGGGAGACUUGAGUGCAGAAGAGGGGAGUGGAAUUCCAUGUGUAGCGGUGAAAUGCGUAGAUAUAUGGAGGAACACCAGUGGCGAAGGCGGCUCUCUGGUCUGUAACUGACGCUGAGGCUCGAAAGCGUGGGGAGCAAACAGG
rnacentral:rRNA from 1 species